AGCUCUCAAGUGUGUUUGCGUGAAGCACAAUAAACACGGCGAAGCUGAGGGGGCCGCCGCAAACAGGCCUUUACUAGGGCAGAACGACUCUCGCCAGGCAGCCCCGCACCCCGGCCGCGGCAAAGGGCCCCGGAGGACCCCAGCAGGACCCCCGGAGGACCCCGACCUCCGCAGCGCGGCCCGAGCCCUCUCCCCUGCGCCCACACCGCACGCGAACAGUAGGGGGCGCCUCUGGAGCACGGCCUGGGGCAAGCACAGGCCUCGAGACCUUGGACAAGUCCCUUCACCUCUGCAUUCUCGGCCUCCUUGUGCACCUGGAGCCGUGUUACCCCCUCACGGCGCUGCUGGGAGGAGAACGGGAAGGGGCUGGUCAGGGCGUCAGUGAGCAGCCCACAGCCGGGUCGGGGCACGGCCCUCGCCUCACUCCCCGCAACGGGAGCUCAGCUGCGCUGGGAGUGAGGCGGCCGCCUUCUCUCCGGGAGUUGAUUCAAAAGUUGACAGUGGUCAUUUCUGCGAGGGGAGGAAGGGACGAGAGGCGCCGUGUGGCCGCGUGUCGAGGACAUCGAGUCCACCGUUCCAGAGGGAGACCGAGGUCACACAGGGCCGGGGGGAGAAACCUGUCUCACUGCUCUGCUCUCAGAAAAGGCAUCCUGUUCUUGGUUUGACCAAAAUGGCCAGAGAACCAAAAGUAACCCCUGCAAAGCUAUCCCACAAUGAUGCUACGAAUGAAAAAUUACAGAAGCCACUUAGAGGCUCACCAAAUCCAGACCCACAACCAGCUCUCACAUCAGUCAGAGCAGAUCACACCCUGACCCAUGGAAAGUGCUCCUGAUGCUCUUAGAACAAGCCCAAAGCUUGACCACUGCCCAGGGCCUGGCCCCAUCCACCGCAGCUCACCUGUCCUCCCUGAGCUCCCACCAGGCCAGUGUCUGCCACUGCAGGAUCGUGGCAUGUGCUGUUUGCUCGCCGGGACACCCUUUCCCUGGCUCUUUGCCCGGAACCUUCUCAUUCUUCAGGGAUCUGAGCUGACUUCCCUGACCACACUCUCUGACAUGGCCUCACCUCUGGAACCUUCUACUACGUCCCAGGUUUAUGCCCUUCAUGGACUUACCACAGUCUGGAAUGAUCUGGUUUGUUUCUCUUCUUGUUUACUGUCUGUCUCCCUGCUCUGGGAUGGAAGUUCCAGGAGAACAGGCCCAUCUCCUGCUCUCAUGGAUCCCUAGUAUCAGGCCCACAGUAGACACCACCUGGCACAUACUUACUGAAUGAAUGAAUGAGAAUGAAUGACUCCUCAGCCCCUAAGCUCAUCCUCCUUUGGGUCGGGGCACCCCUCAUGCUCCCACAGUGCCCCUAGCUGACCCCAUUGUAUCCUGUGGCAUCCAGCUGUCAGCUGUCCACGAGCCGUGAGUCCCGACUGGAGCUGGGAGCACUUGAACACCGUGUAUGGGGCCUGAGGAGAAAACCUUGUCCCUGGGGGGAACCAACUUGCUUGGUAGGGCCCUGAACAGCUCAGAAAGAGCAUUCCAGGCAGAGAGAACAGCAAGGGGGAAGGCUGCGGUCGGAAGGAGAGUGGCAGGGUCUGAGGGCAGAGGGUGGUAAACAGGGAUGGGACGAGGUCUAAGUCACAGGUCGAAGAUGGAGAGAUUGUUUCUGGGGUGAGGGAGUGGGAAACAGUGGUAAGAGGGAGACAUUUUUUUUUUCCAUAGUAUCAUCUACAUUGCUAGAUGUUUUUAAUCAGGUACCUUAAAAUUUAAAAAAAAUCACUCUGGUUGCCAAGUGGACCUUGGAUUGUAAGAGGCGAGAGGAGAUUUUGGUUGGCACUUGUGACAGAGACUUCAGGCUGCCAACCCAAUAUCCAUUCUUCUCUCUCCCUCUUUCCUCUCAGACAGAAACCUGGUGUGUUUAUCUGUUUUUCCCAGGUGAUCAUUUAUACAGCAUGUAUUCAGCUAAAAGAUGACAUUUCCCAACUAGGGGAGGCCAUUGAGUAGAAUUUACUGAAUGGGACUUACGGGGAAACUCUCUGAGAGGAACAGAUAGCUAACAAGAACCACUUUUACCCCUUCCUUAACCUCCAUCUCCUACUUCCUUUCUGGAAUGUGGACAUGAUGGCUGGAGCCCCAGCAACCAACACGGAUCCUUUCAUGAUCUGGAGACUGGAAACCGCACAUGAAGGAUGGCAGAGCUGAAAGGCAGAAGAAGUGUGAAUCUCUGGUGAUGUUGUGGAGCUUCUAGACCAGCCCUGGACACAAUAAAAGUUUAUUUCCCACUUAGGUUACAUGUCAGGGAGAUGAAGGGGGGUGUUCUUUUCAUCCAUGUGGACCGAGGCUGAUGGAGCAACUGCUAUCUUGAACAUCACUUGAUUAGCCAGAGUUCUGGAGGCUAUUGCACCAGCAAAUAAAAAUUCAGCCUGGAAGUCACUCAAGUCACUUCUCAUUGGCCAGAACUAGUCAUAUGGCCCCAUCCAAUCAAUUGUGAAAAGGUUAAGUGCCCAGAAAGCAGGAAGCCGGAAAUAGAGUAUUCAUCAAUAAGAAAUGAAAUAGAGUUUAAGGUUUCUUUUCCUUUUUUAAAAAAUAAAAUUGAUUGUGGUAACAUA